UCCGGUUUGUCACCGGCAGUCUCAUUAGAGUGCCCUUUCGUAGCAACUAAUGACAAGGGUUGUGCUCGUUGCGGGACUUAACCCAACAUCUCACGACACGGGCUGACGACAGCCAUGCAGCACCUGUGUUCCAGGCUCCGAAGAGAAGGUCACAUCUCUGCGACCGGUCCUGGACAUGUCAAGGGCUGGUAAGGUUCUGCGCGUUGCGUCGAAUUAAACCACAUGCUCCACCGCUUGUGCGGGCCCCCGUCAAUUCCUUUGAGUUUCAGCCUUGCGGCCGUACUCCCCAGGCGGGGCACUUACUGCGUUAGCGACGGCACUCAGAGGGUCGCUCCCCCAAGCACCUAGUGCCCAUCGUUUACGGCGUGGACUAC
rnacentral:misc_RNA from 1 species